rnacentral:rRNA from 1 species
AGUGAACGCUGGCGGUAGGCCUAACACAUGCAAGUCGAACGGCAGCACAGAGGAGCUUGCUCCUUGGGUGGCGAGUGGCGGACGGGUGAGGAAUACAUCGGAAUCUACUCUGUCGUGAGGGAUAACGUAGGGAAACUUACGCUAAUACCGCAUACGACCUACGGGUGAAAGCAGGGGACCUUCGGGCCUCGCGCGAUUGAAUGAGCCGAUGUCGGAUUAGCUAGUUGGCGGGGUAAAGGCCCACCAAGGCGACGAUCCGUAGCGGGUCUGAGAGGAUGAGCAGCCACACUGGAACUGAGACACGGUCCAGACUCCUACGGGAGGCAGCAGUGGGGAAUAUUGGACAAUGGGCGCAAGCCUGAUCCAGCCAUACCGCGUGGGUGAAGAAGGCCUUCGGGUUGUAAAGCCCUUUUGUUGGGAAAGAAAUCCAGCUGGCUAAUACCCGGUUGGGAUGACGGUACCCAAAGAAUAAGCACCGGCUAACUUCGUGCCAGCCGCCGCAGUAA